UCGUAACAAGGUUUCCGUAGGUGAACCUGCGGAAGGAUCAUUAGUGAACAUAGGACGUCCAACUUAACUUGGAGUCCGAACUCUCACUUUCUAACCCUGUGCAUUUGUUUGGGAUAGUAACUCUCGCAAGAGAGCGAACUCCUAUUCACUUAUAAACACAAAGUCUAUGAAUGUAUUUAAUUUUAUAACAAAAUAAAACUUUCAACAACGGAUCUCUUGGCUCUCGCAUCGAUGAAGAACGCAGCGAAAUGCGAUAAGUAAUGUGAAUUGCAGAAUUCAGUGAAUCAUCGAAUCUUUGAACGCACCUUGCGCUCCAUGGUAUUCCGUGGAGCAUGCCUGUUUGAGUGUCAUGAAUACUUCAACCCUCCUCUUUCUUAAUGAUUGAAGAGGUGUUUGGAUUCUGAGCGCUGCUGGCCUUACGGUCUAGCUCGUUCGUAAUGCAUUAGCAUCCGCAAUCGAACUUCGGAUUGACUUGGCGUAAUAGACUAUUCGCUGAGGAAUUCUAAUCUUCGGAUUAGAGCCGGGUUAGGUUAAAGGAAGCUUCUAAUCAGAAUGUCUACAUUUUAAGAUUAGAUCUCAAAUCAGGUAGGACUACCCGCUGAACUUAAGCAUAUCAAUAA
rnacentral:misc_RNA from 1 species